rnacentral:rRNA from 1 species
GAUGAACGCUGGCGGCGUGCCUAAUACAUGCAAGUCGAGCGAACAGACGAGGAGCUUGCUCCUCUGACGUUAGCGGCGGACGGGUGAGUAACACGUGUAUAACCUACCUAUAAGACUGGGAUAACUUCGGGAAACCGGAGCUAAUACCGGAUAAUAUAUUGAACCGCAUGGUUCAAUAGUGAAAGACGGUUUUGCUGUCACUUAUAGAUGGAUCCGCGCCGCAUUAGCUAGUUGGUAAGGUAACGGCUUACCACGGCGACGAUGCGUAGCCGACCUGAGAGGGUGAUCGGCCACACGGGAACUGAGACACGGUCCAGACUCCUACGGGAGGCAGCAGUAGGGAAUCGUCCGCAAUGGGCGAAAGCUUGACGGAGCAACGCCGCGUGAGUGAUGAAGGUCUUCGGAUCGUAAAACUCUGUUAUUAGGGAAGAACAAAUGUGUAAGUAACUAUGCACGUCUUGACGGUACCUAAUCAGAAAGCCACGGCUAACUACGUG